rnacentral:lncRNA from 1 species
AUGGCUGGGCUGCUGCCGGUGCUGGGCCUGCUGUCGGUGCUGCUGCCCCGCGCAUCGCAGCAUAAUUUCAGGAAUGCGAAACACGUAAAGAUGAUGUUGCAUCCGUACUCUUCUGCUGAGGCUCCAGCUGAGGACACAGUCGGUGCUACAGCCCGCGCACCUCAAGCAACCCUCUCUAGGACAGAGGCAGAAAAAGAAGAGGAAACCCUGAAGAACCUCGUGGACGUUCUGCAUCACGUCAUGCGAAACGAUCCCUCGCAGGGCGCACUGGCUCCGCGUUCAGCAGCGACACCCACUCGUAAUGAUACCGUCGAUGCUCUCUGGUUAAAAGUAUACAAGAAGCAUGCUGAGAAGCCAAAAAAAACGGGAAGGGUUGCAAUGACAAGAAAACCUACUCCAUCGACUAUGCCAUCAGUUUUGACACUCCAAGCUGACCCAGAUUUUUCUGCUGCUUUGUGUGUUUUUGAAUCUGCUCAGCUGACAGCAGCACUGGAAGAGCUGGCCUUCAUAUUGCAAGCUGUUGUUCCAAAGGGGGAAGAUAAGAUUCUCGAUCAGUUAAUAAGUGGAUUUAGUGAAAUCUUUAAAGAAUGUUUUAAAAAAAGUGAUGCUAAAAAUCACAACUAAGUUUGAAACCAAAACCCACUAGCAAAAUGUUGAAAAAAGUUGCAUUACUGUAAAAAGAUGGAACAUGGAGUUCUAGCCAAAGUCAUCUCGGGAACGAUUAAAACGUUAUAGAUAGUGGUAGGGAAUGCAUCUGACAGUGUUAAACCCCACAUCUCAAUGGGCAUGUUGAAUUGGCUGGGAUCCAGAGAGCAAAAGCUCAGGCACUAGAAGCAGAGAAUUUGCAAAAAAAAAAUCAUAUAAUUUUUCUAAAACUUCCUCUGCACCUCCCUCUCCAUCUCUCUGUCCACUAGGUCUAGGGGAGAGCUCAGCAGAAACCAGGAAAGUAAGACCUUUGAUUAACGUGCUUUAAGAUUUUAGCCCUCAGUUAAAACAUAUAUCAAUAAAUUUAAUAAAUAAAUAUAUUGGUAAUUAUAA